UACGUAGGCAGCGAGCGUUGUUCGGAGUUACUGGGCGUAAAGGGUGUGUAGGCGGUUUUCUAAGUUUGGUGUGAAAUCUCCCGGCUCAACCGGGAGGGUGCGCCGAAAACUGGGAGACUAGAGUGCGGGAUGGGAGAGUAGAAUUCCUGGUGUAGCGGUGAAAUUCGUAGAUAUUAGGAAGAACACCAGUGGCGAAGGCGGCUCACUGGCCCGGUACUGACGCUGAGGCGCGAAAGCGUGGGGAGCAAACAGG
rnacentral:rRNA from 1 species